ensembl:snRNA U6 U6 spliceosomal RNA
GUGCUCACUUUGGCAGCACACAUACUAAUAUUGGAAUGAUACAGAGAAGAUUAGCAUUGUCCUUUCACAAAGAUGACAUAAGUUCAAGUACAGCCUCAGAUGCUUAU